rnacentral:rRNA from 1 species
CACGUAGGGCGCAAGCGUUGUCCGGAAUUAUUGGGCGUAAAGAGCUCGUAGGCGGUCUGUUGCGUCCGCUGUGAAAACUCGGGGCUUAACCCCGAGCCUGCAGUGGAUACGGGCAGACUAGAGGUAGGUAGGGGAGAAUGGAAUUCCCGGUGUAGCGGUGAAAUGCGCAGAUAUUGGGAAGAACACCUGCGGCGAAGGCGGGUCUCUGGGCAGUAACUGACGCUGAGGAGACGAAAGCGUGGGGAGCGAACAGG